UACGAAGGGGGCUAGCGUUGCUCGGAAUCACUGGGCGUAAAGGGUGCGUAGGCGGGUCUUUAAGUCAGAGGUGAAAUCCUGGAGCUCAACUCCAGAACUGCCUUUGAUACUAAGGGUCUUGAGUAUGACAGAGGUGAGUGGAACUGCGAGUGUAGAGGUGAAAUUCGUAGAUAUUCGCAAGAACACCAGUGGCGAAGGCGGCUCACUGGGUCAUUACUGACGCUGAGGCACGAAAGCGUGGGGAGCAAACAGG
rnacentral:rRNA from 1 species